rnacentral:lncRNA from 1 species
AGCAGUCGGACUUUGUCCAACAGCACAGAAUUGGAUCUGAGGCCCCUUUUCCCCUGCCUGCUCCCACCAUCCCCCGUGAAGCCCAACCAUCUGCUGCAUGUGUUGACAGAGCUGCUGUCAUGCGUGGCACCAGUUCUUCAGGUUGACUAGCUUUCAGCUGAAAAAAAUGGUAUCUCAGUGAACCGAUGCUAUUCCUUGGCAUUUUCACUCUGCAUGCACUGCAAAGACAACCUACGGCAAUAAACAAAUAUAUGAAACACA